rnacentral:lncRNA from 1 species
GGGGGGGUCCCGCUUCCAGCCGAUGCUCAAAUCUGUCUUUCUGUUUGUUUUAGUCGCUUUAAUGUCGCUGUAAAUGUUGUGUGAGGCGACAGCACAGCCCAGUGAGGUGCACUGGACAAGGCUCGUAAGCUUUAGGGCAAUCUGUGGGGGCUGCUGCUGCUGCUGCGUCUUUAGGGUGGACAGACUGUCAGAUGGAGCUGGGUACCACAAACAAACACACAACAGUCUGAGUGCUCUUUUAUUUUGGAGAACCAUUUCCCACAUUGAACUUUGAUGCUGGACUUUUUUUUUUUUUUUUUUUAUCUAAUAUUGUUAAUUUUCUAUUGAGUUAAUUGACUCAAUUAACAGUGAGUCUCUACUCGGAUAUGGAGGACCCAGACAUAAGACAACAGAAGCUGGACAACCAGAGAACCCUGUUGAUGAAAAAGCAGCAAAAGAAGCGGUCUGAUGCUCAAAUGGUGGUAGCCAAUCGAGAUACUCGCCAAAAGAACCGGAAGCACAAAGCUGUCCGCUCUGAUGAAACACCUCUGUUAAUCAGCCAAUCCCUGAGCAACACUUCCCUCAGUGAUCAAGUUGAGCAUGCCCAUGAUAACCCAGUGGAUGAGAUUACACUGGGUGAAUGUGACAUGACAGCUAGCAUGACGUUUGUUGAGAUGCCUUCAGAGAAGCCUGUCACUCCAAAAAAAAUGAACCUGGAGAUUGACAAAGAACCUGAGGUGAAGGGUGACACAGAGAAUGACGCCCACGUCGAGGGGAAAAAAGCAAAGAAGAAAGAAAUGAAAAAGGAAAAGGCCAAAGGUAAGAUAUGAACUCGUACAGUAAAUUUGUGCUCUAUAUGAUCUGAAGCUCUUGUGUGUGGGUGUGUAAAAGACACUUUAAUAAAAUAUUUAUCUACAACUCACUGCUUUCUCAGGCGCGGGAGAGAAUGAGGAAAAAGAGAAAGAAAAGGAGAAAGACGUGGAGAAAAAGGAGAAAAAGACAAAGAAGAAAGAAAAAGUCAAAGAAUCUGCAGACACACAGAAGACAAACAAGACAACCAAACAAGAUCGUAAAAGUAACAGCAGUGUUGGUGAAUUUAUCCUCAAGACGUCAGCCACUUCAGUAUACUAUGUGCAGUAUCUAGCUUAGCUUCUACAGGAAUAAAGUGUCUCAUUUUUUGCAGAGAAACACCUACAGGAGGAGGCUGCAACCCAGAUAGAGUCGGUGGUGGAGACGGGGACUCUAAAGAAGAAUAAACUUGAUGAAAGUGACGUCAAAGAGGAAGAAGAGUCCCAAAAGCCUGAUCUACAGUCAGCUAAGAGGAAAAAACCACUUGACACAUGUGAGUGAUUGCCUGUGUCAGUUUGUGAUGUGUUCAAAGAUGCUGUAAGGUUGUAAAGAAAAACAU